AUGUUUAGCAGAGUUAUUUCGAUUAAAUGUGGGAAAAUAAUUAAUGUCCUAAGGUGUGUGGCUGGGUCUGAUUGGGGGGCCGAUAGUGAAACUAUGAUGAUGAUAUAUAGGGCAAUGAUAAGAUCAACCAUUGAUUAUGGCUGUAUGGUAUAUGGGGCAGCAGCUCCUUCAGUAAUUAAACAGCUUGAUGUAGUCCAAGCAAAAGCUCUUAGAGUGUGUAGUGGGGCGUUCCAUACAACUCCAAUAUCUGCGCUAUUAAUAGAAACAGGGGAGAUGCCAUUAGAAAUAAGAAGACGUAAACUUGGUCUGAGGUAUUUAUUGAAAUUAAAAGGACAGACUGGAAAAUUACCAACAAAAAACCUGUUGAGUCAGCAUUGGGAGUUUAUGGGAGCAGCAAGAUCGAUUAAAACAAACUUUACAGAGACAAUCAAAUCCAUGGCAGGUGAUAUUGGUAUUAUGGAAUUGAAUGUAUGCCCGCCAAUAUGUCGGUCAGAUGUACCUCUGUGGUUGAUUCCAAAUCCCAAUGUUGAUUUAUAUUUUUUGAAAACAAAUAAAAGAAAGAUGUCAGAGGUUGUAGUGGAGGAGAUUAAAACCAGGCAGUGUCAAAUGUGGGGAGGCCAUCUACAAAUUUAUACUGAUCCUGAAAGUGGUAAAGGGGCUUUUGGUAUAAGCAUACCUGAAAUAGGAUAUAAAAAAGGAUGGAGGAUUCCUGAUCAUAUGUCAGUAUUUACUGCAGAGUUGGUAGCAGUUUUAUGGGCAGUAAGGUGGGUAGAAGAUAACAAACGGAAAUAUUCAGUCAAACUGUAUGUAGUGAUUCAGCCGCAACCCUUACUACAAUUAAAGAGUGCAAAUCUAAGUCCAGACCUGACGUACUUGUGGAAAUUUUGCAGGUGUUAUAUAGAAUCCACAAAGCAGGGUAUGAGGUGGGGUUUUUGUGGGUUCCGGCGCACAUAGGUGUGGAGGGUAAUGAGGAGGCAGAUGAGAUGGCAAAGAAAGCAGUGCAGGAGGAAAGGGUACAAUUUAAUUUGCAGUAUGGGUCACCAGAUUACACAGAAAUAAUAAAUACGGCAGUAAAAGAAAUGUGGCA
ensembl:lncRNA